rnacentral:rRNA from 1 species
CCGACUGCUAUCAGAGUGAGAUUAAGCCAUGCGAGUCAACGUAGCAAUACGUGGCACACGGCUCAGUAACACGUAGUCAACAUAACCAAAGGACGUGGAUAAACUCGGGAAACUGAGGCUAAACCGCGAUAGAUCAAGAUACCUGGAAUGGUUUUUGAUCAAAAUCUAUAUGGCCUUUGGAUUGGACUGCGUCCGAUCAGGCUGUUGGUGAGGUAAUGGCCCACCAAACCUGUAACCGGUACGGGCUCUGAGAGGAGGAGCCCGGAGAUGGGUACUGAGAAAAGGACCCAGGCCCUAUGGGGCGCAGCAGGCGCGAAACCUCUGCAAUAGGCGAAAGCCUGACAGGGUUACUCUGAGUGACUUUCGCUAAGAAAGUCUUUUGACACCUCUAAAAAUGGUGUAGAAUAAGGGGUGGGCAAGUCUGGUGUCAGCCGCCGCGGUAAUACCAGCACCCCGAGUGGUCGGGACGAUUAUUGGGCCUAAAGCAUCCGUAGCCGGUUUUACAAGUCCUCCGUUAAAUCCAGCUGCUUAACAGAUGGGCUGCGGAGGAUACUAUAAGACUAGGAGGCAGGAGAGGCAAGCGGUACUCAGUGGGUAGGGGUAAAAUCCGUUGAUCCAUUGAAGACCACCAGUGGCGAAGGCGGCUUGCCAGAAUGCGCUCGACGGUGAGGGAUGAAAGCUGGGGGAGCAAACCGGAUUAGAUACCCGGGUAGUCCCAGCUGUAAACGAUGCAGACUCGGUGAUGGACUAGCUUUAUGCUAGUCCAGUGCCGCAGGGAAGCCGUUAAGUCUGCCGCCUGGGCAGUACGGUCGCAAGACUGAAACUUAAAGGAAUUGGCGGGGGAGCACCACAAGGGGUGAAGC